AACGAACGCUGGCGGCAGGCCUAACACAUGCAAGUCGAGCGAGGACUUCGGUUCUAGCGGCGGACGGGUGAGUAACGCGUGGGAAUGUGCCCUUCUCUACGGAAUAGCCCUGGGAAACUGGGAGUAAUACCGUAUACGCCCUAUUGGGGAAAGAUUUAUCGGAGAAGGAUCAGCCCGCGUUGGAUUAGGCAGUUGGUGGGGUAAUGGCCUACCAAGCCGACGAUCCAUAGCUGGUUUGAGGGGAUGAUCAGCCACACUGGGACUGAGACACGGCCCAGACUCCUACGGGAGGCAGCAGUGGGGAAUCUUAGACAAUGGGGGCAACCCUGAUCUAGCCAUGCCGCGUGAGUGAUGAAGGCCUUAGGGUUGUAAAGCUCUUUCAGCUGGGAAGAUAAUGACGGUACCAGCAGAAGAAGCCCCGGCUAACUCCGUG
rnacentral:rRNA from 1 species